GCCGAAUUAGCUUAAUUGGUAAAGCAUACGUUUUGUAAACGUAAAAAUAAGUGUUCGAGUCAUUUAUUCGGCA
rnacentral:tRNA from 1 species